CCCACGUCCCCUCUUAGACAUCCCCAAGUCCUCCCCACGUCCCCUCUUAGACAUCCCCACGUCCUCCCCAUGUCCCCUCUUAGACAUCCCCACGUCGUCCCCACGUCCCCUCUUAGACAUCCCCACGUCCCCUCUUAGACAUCCCCACGUCCCCUCUUAGACAUCCAAACGUCCUCCCCACGUCCCCUCUUAGACAUCCAAACGUCCUCCCCACGUCCCCUCUUAGACAUCUCCGCGUCACCAUUUAGACAUCCCCACGUACCCUCUUAGACAUCCCCACGUCCCCUCUUAGACAUCCCCACGUCCUCCCCACGUCCCCUCUUAGACAUCCCCACGUCCUCCCCACGUACCCUCUUAGACAUCCCCACGUCCCCUCUUAGAAAUCCCCACGUCCUCCCCACGUCCCCUCUUAGACAUCCCCACGUCCUCCCCACGUCCCCUCUUAGACAUCCCCACGUCCUCCCCACGUCCCCUCUUAGAGAUCCCCACGUCCCCUCUUAGACAUCCCCACGUCCUCCCCACAUCCCCUCUUAGACAUCCCCACGACCCCUCUUAGACAUCCCCACGACCCCUCUUAGACAUCCCCACGUCCUCCCCACGUCCCCUCUUAGACAUCCAAACGUCCUCCCCACGUCCCCUCUUAGACAUCUCCGCGUCACCAUUUAGACAUCCCCACGUCCCCUCUUAGACAUCCCCACGUCCUCCCCACGUCCCCUCUUAGACAUCCCCACGUCCUCCCCACGUCCCCUCUUAGACGUGCCCACGUCCCCUCUUAGACGUCCCCACGUCCUCCCCACGUCCCCUCUUAGACGUCCCCACGUCCCCUCUUAGACAUCCCCACGUCCCGUCUUAGACAUCCCCACGUCCCCUCUUAGACAUCCCCACGUCCUCCCCACAUCCCCUCUUAGACAUCCCCACGACCCCUCUUAGACAUCCCCACGUCCCCUCUUAGACAUCCCCACGUCGUCCCCACGUUCCCUCUUAGACAUCCCCAAGUCCUCCCCACGUCCCCUCUUAGACAUCCCCACGUCCCCUCUUAGACAUCCCCACGUCCCCUCUUAGACAUCCCCACGUCCCCUCUUAGACAUCCCCACGUCCUACCCACGUCCCCUCUUAGACAUCCCCAUGUCCUCCCCACUUCCCCUCUUAGACAUCCCCACGUCCUCCCCACGUCCCCUCUUAGACAUCCCCACAUCCUCCCCACGUCCCCUCUUAGACAUCCCCACGUCCCCUAUUAGACAUCCCCACGUCCCCUCUUAGACAUCCCCACGUCCCCUCUUAGACAUCCCCACGUCCUCCCCACGUCCCCUCUUAGACAUCCCCACGUCCCCUCUUAGCCAUCCCCACGUCCUCCCCACGUCCCCUCUUAGACAUCCCCACGUCCCCUCUUAGGCAUCCCCACGUCCUCCCCACGUCCCCUCUUAGACAUACCCUCCUCCCCUCUUAGACAUCCCCACGUCCCCUCUUAGACAUCCC
ensembl:lncRNA